rnacentral:rRNA from 1 species
UAAGGAAUAUUGGUCAAUGGACGCAAGUCUGAACCAGCCAUGCCGCGUGGAGGAUGAAGGUCCUCUGGAUUGUAAACUUCUUUUAUCUGGGACGAAAAAAGGGAAUUCUUUCUCGUCUGACGGUACCAGAUGAAUAAGCACCGGCUAACUCCGUGCCAGCAGCCGCGGUAAUACGGAGGGUGCAAGCGUUAUCCGGAUUCACUGGGUUUAAAGGGUGCGUAGGCGGGUAUGUAAGUCCGUGGUGAAAUCUCCGAGCUUAACUCGGAAACUGCCAUGGGUACUGUGUAUCUUGAAUGUUGUGGAGGUGAGCGGAAUAUGUCAUGUAGCGGUGAAAUGCUUAGAUAUGACAUAGAACACCAAUUGCGAAGGCAGCUCACUACACAAAUAUUGACGCUGAGGCACGAAAGCGUGGGGAUCAAACA